UACAGAGGUCUCAAGCGUUGUUCGGAUUCAUUGGGCGUAAAGGGUGCGUAGGCGGCGCGGUAAGUCGGGUGUGAAAUUUCGAGGCUUAACUUCGAAACUGCAUUCGAUACUGCCGUGCUAGAGGACUGGAGAGGAGACUGGAAUUUACGGUGUAGCGGUGAAAUGCGUAGAUAUCGUAAGGAAGACCAGUGGCGAAGGCGGGUCUCUGGACAGUUCCUGACGCUGAGGCACGAAGGCCCAGGGGGAGCAAAACGGGG
rnacentral:rRNA from 1 species